rnacentral:miRNA from 1 species
CCUAGGAAAUGAGAAAACUCGGC